rnacentral:rRNA from 1 species
GAUGAACGCUGGCGGCGUGCUUAAUACAUGCAAGUCGAACGAAGAGUGUAGCAAUACUCUCUUAGUGGCGAAUGGGUGCGUAACACGUGGGCGACCUACCCCGAAGUGUGGAAUAACAGUUCGAAAGAACUGCUAAUACCGCAUGUGGUCCCAAGGGCUAGAGGCCUUGGGUCUAAAGCAGUAAUGCGCUUCGGGAGGGGCCUGCGGUCCAUCAGCUAGUUGGUAGGGAAUGGCCUACCAAGGCGACGACGGAUAGGGGACCGUGAGAGGGU